GGCCCCGAGGUGUCAUCAUGUUAGAUUGCAAAUCUAAAGAAGUAGAUUAUCGUCUACCGGGGCUU
rnacentral:tRNA from 2 species